UGGCUUAAUGAUAGAGUGCUUGCCUGGCAUGCAUGAGACCCUGGGUUCAAUUCCUUG
rnacentral:tRNA from 1 species